ACGUAGGAAGCGAGCGUUAUCCGGAUUUACUGGGCGUAAAGCGCGUGUAGGCGGUCGGGUAAGUUGGAUGUGAAAGCUCCUGGCUUAACUGGGAGAGGUCGUUCAAUACUACCUGACUAGAGGAUGGGAGAGGGAAGUGGAAUUCCGGGUGUAGUGGUGAAAUGCGUAGAUAUCCGGAGGAACACCAGUGGCGAAAGCGGCUUCCUGGCCCAUAACUGACGCUCAGACGCGAAAGCUAGGGGAGCGAACGGGAUUAGAGACCCCGGUAGUCCUAGCUGUAAACGAUGUGGACUUGGCGUUGGCGGGUUUAAAUCCGUCAGUGCCGAAGCAAACGCGAUAAGUCCACCGCCUGGGGACUACGGCCGCAAGGUUA
rnacentral:rRNA from 1 species